GGGGAAUAUUGGGCAAUGGACGCAAGUCUGACCCAGCAACGCCGCGUGAAGGAAGAAGGCUUUCGGGUUGUAAACUUCUUUUAAGGGGGAAGAGUAGAAGACGGUACCCCUUGAAUAAGCCACGGCUAACUACGUGCCAGCAGCCGCGGUAAUACGGAGGAUCCGAGCGUUAUCCGGAUUUAUUGGGUUUAAAGGGUGCGCAGGCGGGAUGUUAAGUCGGCGGUGAAAUUUUGCAGCUCAACUGUAAAAGUGCCUUCGAUACUGGCUUUCUUGAGUGUGGAUGAAGUAGGCGGAAUUUGUGGUGUAGCGGUGAAAUGCUUAGAUAUCACGAGGAACUCCGAUUGCGCAGGCAGCUUACUAAACCACUACUGACGCUCAUGCACGAAGGCGUGGGGAUCAAACA
rnacentral:rRNA from 1 species